CGUUUACAUAGGCGGACAUCCUGAAAUCCCAGGUGGAUUGUCAGCAAAAUAGACAUUGUAAUUAACUCAAACUUUAAGAGAGGUAAAUGCAAUAUCUCCAUGAUAUAAAAGCCAUUGGUGGUAUAAAUAGUAGAUAUUCUUGGAAAACCCUAAUUUCCUUUUGUUGUACAGUGCAUCUAAACUUCUUCUUGUCAGCAAAAUAGACAUUGUAAUUAACUCAAACUUUAAGAGAGUGCAUCUAAAUUUCUUCGACAGUGUCGCUUCUCAUUUCCUUGGUUGAAGGGCGAUUAUGAUCUCUGAUAUCCGCCAUAAUGGCGCGCAGUUGGACAUGGGUGAGCUACAUAAUUGAUUACUAGCCAUUGCCUUUACUAUCAUUGCUUUGCUGGUGUUUAGCAAGGGGUGAGCUGCAUAAUUGGAUUGAUCAGCUGCAUGAUUAAGAUUGAACUAUUUUGUCCUGCCCCCUCAAGCUAGCGGGUGAAAUGGAAUGAAUUCCAAGCUUGCCUCGAAAAUUGUGGAACAAGUCACUGGUCAAUGGUUUUGUCUGAAUGUCUUCAAUCUGAAGGUGAGAAGGAAGAAAACGUGUGACAAGCUGUCCUGUGGCAACCUGUUCCCUAACAAAGUGAUAAUCAAUUUGGACAUGCUUGGUACGGCCAUGGAGAACUGGAUUCACUGUCAUAUGCAAAGCACUGAGAUUGUCACAAAAAAGCUGUGGAGGUUUAAGAAGAGGAACACCAAUAUCUCAUAAGAGGAAUGUGAUCCACAUGAGUUCUGCAGUUGUUGAGGCCAUUGCUUGACAUUUUGCUUUUGUACUUGAUCGUGCAACAGUUGGUUGUUUAUUUAAGGAACAAAAGAUGCAGUUGGCUCCGAUGUAAACAUAAUAGCCACUUGUACUUCGACGGGUGUCAGGGCAUCUAGCCCAAUCUACAUCACAAAAACCAGUUAAAUUAAAAAAACUUUGUUGAAUGAAUCUUAUCCCAAAAUUGAUUGUUCCUUUGAGGUAAUGAAGUAUGCGUUUGACUUCACAAAGAUGGGAUUGGGUAGGAUUUUGGAAAUGCUUGCAUACUCUACUAAUGACAUGGGCUAUAUCUGGACGAGUGAAUGUGAGGUAUUGUAAACUGCCAACCAGUUUUUGAUAUUCUAUAGCAUUGGUAGGCUGGUUAUCAUCAUCUUGAGGUGUCACUUUUAUGGCCAGUAGAGUUUUAAUUUUAGCAGCUUCUAGCAUCUUUGCUCGAAGUAGAAGAUCUCUGCUAUAUUUUUCUUGACUUAGAAAGAUGUCCCCUUGAAAAUACCAUGCCUCAACUCCUAGAAAAUAAUGUAGCUUUUCGAGGUCCUUUGUAGCAAAUUUUGUACCCAAUCUGCUUAUUAAGCUAUUGAUCAUAACAGGAUCAUUUCCUGUUAAAAGUAAGUCAUCGACAUAGAUCAAUAAUAGGAUAGUAAUAUUAUUUUUUUUGGAAAACAAAGAGAGAGGAAUAAGAUUUAAUAGAUUUAAAACCAAGACAAAGAAAGAAUUAAGACAAACAGUCAAACCAUGCUCUAGGGGCUGGUUUGAGUCCAUAAAGUGAUCUUUUUACAAAUAAACAUGGUCAGGAUAAGUUAAAGAGAUAAAACCUGGAGGUUGCUUCAUAUAAAUGGUUUCUUUCAGAUGUCCAUGCAAGAAAGCAUUCUUAAUAUCAAGCUGUCGAAUUGUCCAGUUUGAUAUAACAACAAUGGAGAUGACUAAUCUGAUAGUGGUAUGCUUGACUACUGGACUGAAGGUUUCGUCAAAAUCAAUCCCUUCAACCUGUGUAUAUCCUUGUGCCACCAGUCAUGCUUUCAAUCACUCCAUUGUACCAUCCUCUUUAUAUUUGGUCCUGUACACCCAUUUGGAUCUAAUGAUAUUUGUAUUUUGAGGUCUUUGAACUAGUAUCCAAGUAUUAUUGUUAUGAAGAGCAGUAACUUCUUCUUGCAUGGCAUGAAAUCAGAAUGGAUCUUGAAGAGCUUUUCGAAAAGUCUUUGGUUCAUCAGAUACAAGUGCCAUUUGAGAUGCAAGAUUGAGAUUGCUUUGAAGUUUUCUUCUUGUAAUCAUUGGAUGACCAUUGAGAUUUGUGAAUUUGUUUGAUUGAUAUUGGUUGGAGAGACCUACAAAUCAAUUGUUAGAUUAUCUUGAAUACCUCUAGGAUCGUGAACUGAGAUAAUAGGAAGAUAUGAUUGUUUUUCAUAUUGGCUUGGCUGUUCUGGUUGUGAUUGACUGGUACGAUUUUGUUCAAUGUUGGAUGUAGAAGGAUCAACAUCUCUUUGUUGAUUUGAGUUGCUGGAGAAUCAGUGAUAGAAUGAGGAUUUGUUUUGUUCAUUCUGUUCCUCAUGCAUGCUGCUGGUGCUGUCAAGUUCAACAACUCCUAGCUUAUUCUGCUCUUCAUGUUUAUUGCUGCUGGUGCUGUCAGGUUCAACAUUUCUUAGCUCAGUCU